AGGACGAACGCUGGCGGCGUGCUUAACACAUGCAAGUCGAGCGGAAAGGCCCUUCGGGGUACUCGAGCGGCGAACGGGUGAGUAACACGUGAGCAACCUGCCCCUAGCUCUGGGAUAGCUCCGGGAAACCGGGAUUAAUACCAGAUACGACCACUUUAGACAUCUUUUGUGGUGGAAAGGAUUCCGGCUAGGGAUGGGCUCGCGGCCUAUCAGCUUGUUGGUGAGGUAACGGCCCACCAAGGCGACGACGGGUA
rnacentral:rRNA from 1 species